rnacentral:sRNA from 2 species
AUACUUAUAAUGAUGAGUGGUGCAGUAUUCUAGUCGGUUCUUCACUCUCGAAAGCGGGCCUAAAAAUCCGCUAAAGGGCACAUCGAUGAAGUUUCUAGUUCUGGCUUGAGGCGCCCAGCCUUGGGUCAUUACUGGGAGUAAAGGUCGUAGGGCGAUCUACAAUGGCAUGUAGGCGUGAACCCUGCACCGUGGAGGCCCUUGCAUGCUGUGAGCUGACCGGCAAGCGGUGUGCAAGGGUAUGAACCUGUUUUGCAAGUUGUGGGAGACUUGUGAGCAGCGUAGCCUGCCUUGAGUGGAGUAUGAGGGGAUUAUUUUCGGUUUUCCCGGAAGUAUGAAAUCAUCUCUGCAAAAGAGGAUAGAGAGUGGCCGGAACUGCCGAAGAAAAUUCCUAGACUGUUUGUAAAACAGGCAAAAGGGAUUAUAGUGCGUUCUAAGUGGUAAUCCAGUCCGGCGAAUGGCGACAUCGCCGAGGCGGGGGUAAAGGGAAACCGCCGGUGCGGCGACGCAUCGGUCUCCGCCUGGGAAAACCAACUGGACCUAAGGCGCAGUCUUUACCUUCUGUCUGACCACUCAUCAGAGCGAAAGU